ensembl:lncRNA
UGGCAGUGCGCGUCCCCGCGGGUCCCCCAGGGGGCGCGCUCCGACCGCGCAGCCGCGGCAGCGGCACCUCCAGGGACCCAUCGUAAUUACCACGAUCGCAACCACAGCAGUGGCAUUAAUAAUAGUCGUAACAAUAAUCGUAGUGCUAUAAUAAACAAGUAAACCUGCGCUAUUUCUCAGUCAGCCUCUAUCGUCAUUACAUCCUUGUUUCUGGACUUUUUUCCCCCUCCUGUCUUUUGCUUGGAGCUUCAGGUUGAAGCUCCUGGCUGUUGCAGCGCUGAGGCAUCCUCCCUGCCACCCAUGCACACAUGCAAAGAUGGAGCAAACAGGACAGGAGUAGGGGCACAAUAAAUCCUUAUAGGUCCCCAGUCUUUCCCCUCAAUUACUGACCUUUGCUGAUGAACACAGUUGUACGAGUAGUUCUUCACAGAUACAUUUCUUGCGUACUGGGUGGGAUGAGGUUAGCUCAGUGCAGAUCUGGCUGCCUCCUGCUGCUCUUGCCCAACACACGUCCUCAUUUAUCCUCACAGAACCAGGGCUCAGGCAAACCUUUAGCACCAAGCAGAUUUCCCAGGUGCACAGGUGACUGCUAAAUUGCACUAAUGUUAGAUGAGAAAAAGAGAAAGUCAAGUGAGGAGAGCAGCAAAUUCUCCAGGUUAAGAUGGCAGGUAGGUUAAGAUGACAGAUUUUGCUCCCCGCUCCUACUUAAUCAACUAUAUUAACUUGUUUUUCAGUGGAUUUUCUCCUUUUCUGAGUCUCACCACACCCUGCAGUGUCAGGGGAAUGUGUUAAGAACAUUCUGCUAUCCAGGGAAGGGCAUAGUUUUCUAAUCUGUGCACAAGGAAUAAGAGAGAGAGAGAGAUUUGGAGUUUAUAGACAGCUGAAUACUAACAUAAAUGAAUUUGAAGGAGACAGCUGACUGUCUGACAGUUGUCCAUCAACAUGAUGGGGAGAGACUGCUUCCAUUGCAGCUCUGGCAACAAGAGCAGCACACCCUGACCAUUUGGGCAUGCCAUUGGCUUCAGGUUGCUCACAGGCUCCCAGGAAAGCCUAGAAAGCCCAUGAUGUCUCAGUCCAACACUACUUCAGAACCUCAUUUUGUGUUAUCAUAGAACACAUAUAUUCUAUGCACAGUGAUAGAAGACAUGACACUGCAAAAAAUUUGCCUUACAACUCACAGUGUCAAAAUGAUCAGUCCUGGUGAAGGAAGGAAAGCAUUAGAUGUGUGUAUUUCUACCCCGUGUUCAGCAAACUAUAGAGGGUUUUAAAGUGAAUGUGAGCCACGCAGGACUAGAAAAGAUUUCCAUGUCCCAUGUAACCCUAGGGACCAAACCAGAGCACGGACCGCUGGUGGUGGAAGGGUUGUCUCAGUGUAAUGCUCCUCCUAGCAGCCCCUUUGCUAAAUUCUCCAUUUGUUCUUUCUUUCUUCCACUAAGGUAACCUUGCUCCAAGAGAAGGCAGUUUCCCAAAGACUCCUUAGCUAAUUUUAGAAAAAAGGGCUAACUUGCCCCAUUUAUUCUCAGUGUUAAGAGUGAAAGAGCCUUUCUGCACCAAUGGCUUUUUCUCUGCUUGCACCAGUGUGAGCAAGGAACAAGUCUGACUUUAACAGAAGAGAUAAAAAUAAAACCAGCAAUGGACAAAGUCAAUUAUAUUCCCCAUUGCCUAGGGAUGGGCAACCUAAUUUGCAGCUGACAGUAGUUUGAUGGACUGAACCAUCCUUUUUCUGAUCCAGCAUUCAGAGUAAUUUUUAUUGUAAACCAAUCAUUAUAGUGUAGGACUCUCAGUACUACCAGUGUCACCAUAAAAAUUCCCAAGGCAACACUAGUGUUGCUGCUGGGGUUUUUCCUUCCAUCCUUCACAACCUGACGUACUCUGGGAGAUGCUGGACACAGCACACCGUGCCCUGUUCUCAUCACGAGCCCUGGGCAGAACAACCAAUGGGUUGUGUGAGCAUAACGGUGCCAAACGUGAUGGUACCAGCACCAGGGGACACGUUCCCACUCUCAUUGCUGUCAUUUUGGCAGGGAUGCUAAAUUUAGUCUACUGGUUCGGAAUAUGCAUACAGCACAUUAAGCUGGGGGCUUAGCAGGGCACUCCAGCAUCUUCAUCUGUGAUUGGCUCUGAUUUUGCUUCUUUUUGUGGUUUAUAGGUCAUAAAAUUACAAUUUUACUCCCUAAGGAUAUUGUACUAGUUUGUGUCCAACAUCUGUGCACUCUAGUAAUUGCUAAGGCUUAGUGCAGUGUCCUUAUCUUCCCUGAACUGGGGUAGAAGUGAGGCUUCAGCCCAGUCUACAUUGGUCAGCACCGUACUCCAUUGGAGCCAGCUGGAUUUUAUUCUCACCAGAACCUGAGCAAUUUAUUUUGCAAAGCCAAAUCCCUGUUUGUUGGGGUUUUUUGUUGUUGUUGGUUUUGUUUUUUUGGGUUUUGGGGUUUUUUGUUUUUUUUUUUUGGAGAUGUGGGACUUCACUGUUCUGCAAUGGAAGUACCUCACACUGCGUUAUAUAAGCUGUGGUUUGCACAGAUAGGAGGAAAUUUAGAAAAAGUAACCUGGAAGGUACCUGCAGGGCUGAGAUCCACGGCUCCUGCAGACGGUUUGCCCUACAUUCCCCUCCCAUCUCUGUGAGAGCACACAGUGUACCCAGAAGGCUGCAGUUACUCUUCUUUCCCCACAUUUCUGCUUAGCUGUGAAAUCUGUGCCUUCCUUCUUUCCACUCUAGUAUCCAUCAAGGACUGAUUAACAAAUGAUAGACAGACACCUACUAUUGCUAACAGGAAGAACAAAAGCCUAUAAUUUUCAUAAGACAGAUCACUGAGACUGCUCUCCUAUUGCACAGUCUUAUCAAUACCUCUACUGCCAAAGCACAGCCUGAAAGGAGCCUGAUUAAAGCUGUCAUGUCAGCCCAGAGAUGGUGAGGCAGGGUUGUGGUAACUGUGCACCUUUGCUUCUGCUGUUUCCAUGCUUUGUCUUCAGCACAGUGACAUGAACAUAAAAGUAAUCAUGCACUGAAACGCUAUAAGGAGCAAACCAUGUAUUUCAAGGAGCAGACCAUGUAUUUCCUACACUCAAAUAUUUGUUUUUAUAUCGAUCAAACAUAUAUAUUGAUUGUAUAAGAUAAAAAAAAUCAAAGUGAAGGUAGAGGAAUAUUCUCAUUUGUUGUGGUAGAAUUUAAAAGUACCAAUAGUUCAGGUAAAAAUCUUAGAAUCACAUAAGUGAAGUGAACUUAACAAGAAACCAAACACAGUGUUUGUGCCUCUUUACCUAAAUAAGUGCUUCGCCUUCCAUGAAUUUGGCUUGCUUUAGGUACUUUGUUUUACAACAGGCAGAUGUGGUCAAGCAGCACACUGUGUCCAGGCAGAGUCUUCCGGAAGCAUCUCCAGGUGCUCCUGGAAGAGGCUGUGCAGCACUUAUAUCCUACCACCAACAUGCAUCUGGAGAGAAUCAUAGAACAGUUUGGGUUGAAAGAGACAUUUAAGAUCAUCUAGUUCCAACUCUCCUGCUAUAAGCAGGAACACCUCCCUCUAGACUAGGUUGCUCACAGCCCCAUCCAACCUGGGCUUGAACACCUCUGGGGAGGGGUCAUCCACAGCUUCACUGGGCAACCUGUUCCUGUGUCUCACCACCCUCACAGUAAAGAAUUUCAUCCUGAUAUCCAGCCUCAAUCUACCCACUUCCAGUUUAAAACUGUUUCCCCUCAUCCUGUCACUACCUGCCCUUAUAAAAAGUCCCUCCCCAUCUUUCCUGUAGACCCUCUUCAGGUCCUGGAAGGCCGCUAUAAGGUCCCCUUGGAGCCUUCUCUUCUCCAGGCUGAAGAGCCCCGGUUCUCUUAGCCUGUCCCCAUAGGGAAGGUGCUCCAGCCCUCUGAUCAUCUUUGUAGCCCUCCUCUGAGCCCUCUCCAACAGCUCCAUAACCUUCUUGCGUUGGAGGCCCCAGAACUGAAUAUGCGUGUAUCUCCCAGCUGUAUUUUUGGGGGUGCAAUUUGGUAGAGGAGCUGCUGAAAGGGAGGAAGGUUCUCCAUUUCCCAACAAGGAGAGCUCACAGUUGGGUUCCCAGGAGCCACCUGCACAGGGCGUGUGUGUGGCUGCACGUCCCCGCGUGCACAGCUUGGAAAGCUUGCUGAGACAUGCAGGAAUAUUUUGCUAUGGGGCCGCAGCGGCUGUCGGCAAUUCUGGGAUGUCUGUGUGGAACUGGGGUGAGAACGGUGCCCUUGUCUCUGUGGCGCAGAUGGAAGCGAUAAGUCCUUGCAGAUCUGCUUCAAGAGCGGUCCUGUGAAAGGAAACAGAUUGCCUGGGGCCAGACAUUUAGAGGGUCUUACGCUUCUUUUUGCACUUGCAAAGUGCAUGUUCUCUUAGCCUGUUCUCUCAGGUGAAAUAUUGCCCUUCCAGAACAGACUUGCAUGGGGAAAUGUCCUGCGGUGCACACCCCUGCCGUGUGUUGCACUGAGCUGCCAGCAUGCAUCCUAGGGCAUCCUCAUGCAGAGAAAUUCCUAUCAAUGGGAAGGCCACCAUGAAUCCAGUUUUUGCUACCUAUCUUCAUUUUUCCACAGUUCUUUUCUGUGUUAAAAGCUUCCCCACACUCACAGUUGCUCUUCCCAAGGUCGGUGUUCAUGUGCUUGUCAUCCAACCUGCUUUGCUUGGAAUUUCCAUUGAAAUUCUGAUAAAAGUGCUUGGUGUUGCAUCAAGUUCUCAUCAAUUUCACUACCAUUUCAUUUAGGAAAAAAAAAAAGAGGUUAAAGUGUUGCAUUACAUAAAAAGAAUUUCUAAUAUUUUUUAACAUUUACUUUUUGAAACAACUUUCAUUUUGAGUUUCUAACAGAUUAGGGUUGCAUUAUAUAUGUUCUGAUGGUAUUAAAAAAAAUAGAAGGAAGCUAAACUAAAACAUUUUAAUCCAUGGAAAAUGGCUUUUCCCACACAUGCUUUGGACAGAUGUUGAAAUUGUGUCACAGUUUAGAAUGAGACUGAAUUAUUUUUUUUUUCCUAAUGAAACAAUACUUUCAUUUUUACAUGGCAGUUAUACAAUUUCAGUUUGUUCAUCAUAGAAUCAUAGAAUGGCCUGGAUUAAAAAGGACCACAAUGAUCAUCCACUUUCAACCACCUUGCUAUGUGCAGGGUUGCCAACCACCAGACCAGCCUGCCCAGAGACUGGUUUACACUGAAUGUAGAUUGUGGUCAAAAUUUAACAAUUGGAAAGGUCCCUUCCAACCCAAGCCAUUCUGUGAUUCUAUGAUUCUUCAGAAUAAUCUUCAAUGAGUUAGAUCCGACUGUGAUUGCUGCAAAACUUAGUCAGUUAUUUUUAUUACAUGAUCAGUUUUCCUCAAAGCCUGUCUUCUGGGUAGAUUUUAAUACAUCUAAAUACCUUAAUAUUGUUUUCUCAAAGGAGGAAAACAUUCUAACUCAUCCUAGGGAUUAUAAAAGUAGUAAUUUUCUCACAACUGGCCCUUAAUACAGCUAAUAGCUCUUGGCGUCACCUUAGGAUGGUUAACAAGGCCAUCAUUAACUGUGGUUAAUGAAAAAGUAAUUAAACUUUUUAAAAUCUAAUCCUGGAUGACAAAUCAUUAUAAAUCGUGCCCUUGGUUAUUCGUGUCACUAAUGUGAAUAAAUGAGUUUUAAGGUCUAUAUAUGCAUAAAACAAAACUGUAAGCAAACAUAGCAUGAAUCCUGCUGGUUGUCAAUAGCUAUUUUUUUUCAAUCGCUUUUAAUACUUCUUAAAAUGUCCAUGACUUUGGGUGUAAUUUUUUGAAGAUUUAAGAAGAAACCUUAACAUUUUGUGUGAGAAUCCCAAAAUCUGCUGUGGGAUUAUCCUCACUGACUUGGAAGAUCAUCAGCCAAACUGUGGAGAUUUGAAAGACGGAGGGCAGAGGUAUUGCAAAUCUAGCAAGACACAGUUCAGCAAAGCAACCUAACUGGAUUUCAACUCUUAUAAGCUGUCAAUAGAAACAGGAGACAGUAAAUUAAUAUAUAUAUUUUUUUCUGUUUUGAGUGCGCCUAAGAGAACUCAAUAAAGAAAUAGAAAUAGGAUCAAUACAUUCUGUCUGAAAAUCAGUUUAGAAGGAGCCACGGUGUCUCAAGGAGGAAACACUAACUAGUUAAAAAGCCUUUCACGAAACAAGUUAGAAACCUUCUGGUAAAUCCUUUGGAUGUUUCAGACAUACUGGCAUUAACUCAUAACCACCCAAACACUUCCCAUAUACGAUCAGUCCUAUUUAUGGCUUUUAGGUCAUAGAAUCACAGGAUCAUGAAGGUUGGGAAAGACCUCUCCGAUCCCCAAGCACAACCCCAGCCCACUCCACCAUGCCCACUGCCCACGUCCCUCAGUGCCAUAUCCAAAUGUUUCUGGAGCACCCUCAGGGAUGGUGACCCCACCGUUCUCUGGGCAGCCUGUGCCACUGCAUCACAGCUCUUUGAGAGAAGAAAUGUUUCCUAAUACCCAACCUGCUGUCAGGCUGAUACUGCCAAAACUCUUGUUAUUACCGGUAAAAUCUGCUUUGUGCUGUCAGAGCACCCUGAGGAGCUUGGAGGGCUGGAGCAGGGCACAGCCCUCUCCUCACACCUGGAGUUGGAGCUGCCUGGGACCACCAGCCCCAUCCAUCUCGUACAAUUUCCCUCAGAUCCCUGGGGGGGCUGCACACACAGAGCCUUUCUGCUGAUGAGAAGAGAGGAUUUCCUUUAAAGUAACUCCUUCACACAAUGAGUUCUCUGCCCUUUCUUCAGGUGCUCUCAGUACUACCCAGGCUAUUCCUACUCCUCCUCUGGGGCCAGAGGACGUGACCUGCUUUCACUUUCUCUUUUCUCAUCUUUCUCCCCCUCCCAUAAGACUGCAGUGUGCUCUCUUUACAUUACUCCAAGGCCAAGAACAGCCCACUCUGGCUCACCUUGUGAUUCCUCAGACCACAUCCCUCGGAGAUGCUCCAUCUGUACUCCGUGCAUUCAGAUCUGUCACGCUGCAGGGUCACCUCCUUUGUGUGUCACGUUGUCCCCUUGACCGGGGUGCAGUCAUGCUUUAAGGUAAAGGCCGUUCUCAGUGAACUUUAGAGACCUAGAAGUUACUUAUGUGCAAAAGUUAUUCCUGUUGUCAAAAGCAAAAGUAUUUCCUGCCUAUCCUUACUGCUGAAAAAAGCCCAGAUUGAUUUAUUUUCAGAUUCAGAAAUCAGUUUUCCAAGCAUAAGAAUGUGUAAUAGAGCAAUUACGGGCAUUCCCCCAAAGCUGCAUUUAAAAAAACCUCCCAUGAGGAGCGUUUCAUGUAUUUGACUUGGAAAUGCUUUUAUUUUUAUAAAUUCCUUUUUUGGAAGAGUGAUGCAAUACUAUCCAUAACGCAUAGUAUUGCUUUGAGAGGUCGUGUUCUGCAGCCAGCAUUGCUGCUGCUUGUGAUGGGAAGGCACCGAGGCAGUGUGAGCAAACUUUCUUGGUGACAUUCACAGCUUUGUAAAAAAAAGACAUUUAAACUGAUGAUUUUUUUUUUUCAGCUGUAAUUUGGAAAAACCCUAAGAUGUAAUUAAAUCUGGUCACAACAUUUCUGUGAUUGAAGUGAUGGAUAACAGAUAGGUUAUGCUUAUCCCUGAUGUAACAGCAUUGUAGCAAACACUCCGUUUAUUGCAUUAUAUACGAUAUCAAGCAACGUUAGUCAUUCACAUAAAUAGCUCUGGUCUGAUUGAGUUUGAUUCCUUAUUAGGGAGAGUUCCACAGUGCAGAGUGUUGUACCAGUAAUAUAACACAGAAAUUGCUUCUAGCAUGUGGAACGUGCAAUUAUAAUAAGCAAAUAUUUAACUCAAACCAUGCUCUUGGGAUCACAGUGUCAAUAACAGAUAUAAAAAAACUAAUUGUUUCAUCAGCCUGAGGCGCAUGAGAAGGGGCUGGAGCCAAGGUGGGCUGCCAGGGCUGCCCUGCACAUGGAGCUUAGCUUAUGGGAAGGUGAUGAUUAAGGUGAUCAUAAAUGCAGGCUGAGAUUUGUUUUAUGAUCAAGAUAUUGAACACCAAAUUAAUAAGCAUCAAGUUAUGACAGUAAUAAAUGGCAAUGGCAUGGGAAUGGCGGAAGGAAAAGCUCGGACUGUCAGGCAGCUGCUUGCACACAGGUGUAACUGCUGCCUGGCUGCUGCUCUGGGAAGGAAAAAUGAUUUCUUUGCGACUUUCCCUUUUGUAUCCCUUCAACUGGGACAGUCGAGACCCAAAGAAGCCCUGACACAAAAUAAAGCUAAGAGCCAGAUUUCUGCUCCUUCAGAGCCUUCUGCCUUUCCCAGCGAGCUGACUGGUGCUGCAACGUGCUGCUAUUCAUCAGCAUUUUCAAGCAGGAGACAGACUCGUGAACUCUCAUUUUCUAUGGGAGAUUUCUUCUGGAGCCGGUGUUGCCAAGUGGUGAUUAGAUAAGAUGACACCCUGGGAAAUUCAAGAUGGAAUAAAAGCCCGAGCGGGUAUGCAGCCGAGCUGCAAGGCUAUCAGUCCUUAUUGAAGGGGCCUUCAUCUGGGACAUUCAGAGGGGCUCUUUUAAAAGCACGAGCUCACUAAUGAAGCUUAAUGGUUCUGAAUUGAUGGUACCUUGCAGCAGAAGCUGCUUAGAUGCUUAAUAAUGGCAUAAUCAUCGUCCGUCAGCCAUUUGGUUGGCACAGAAUGCUUAUGCCUGCAUUGUUCCAUUUAAGAUAGAUAUAUUUACAUUUACUGACAUUGCAUACUUUCAUAUCAUAUCCCUCUACAUGUAUCACAAUAUCCUUUGUUUUGAAGGUGGGGCUGCAGGGAUUUGGAUCAACUAACAUCAUGGGAAAUUUAGGAUGAACCAGAACUGGUGUGCCUUAUAGAAGUAGAACUGUUUUUUUCUGCCCCAAUUCCAGUGCUCUUUUAUGGAAAUCUAUCAUCACUUUGUAAGAGUUUGUGUGUCAGAAUGAAUUGAGUCAUUAAUCACAAAUACAUCAAGUGAGAUCUUGGAAUACAAGAUGUAUAUGAAUGCAUGUGAAAACUGUUGAAGGAACGAAAAGAACAGAUAAAAUGAGGCAGCAUAGCAAUGAAAAACAUUGAAUAGGAAAAGUAACAAAAGAAGGUGCUAAAAAAAAAAUCAAAGAAAAGGCAACUAUCAUAUACAGAUAAAGGGGAGACAUAGUUAGAAUUAAAUGCGAGAUAUUCCGUAUGCUUUUAAAUACAUCAGUUACAGAAAGCUGCCAUAAGAUGACAUUGUACUGCAUUAUACUAAGCACACAGAUUUUAUGGGCCUUGCACUCCCAACAUCUGAUGUAGAACAUAAGUCCAAGCACAAUGCUGUGCAGUGGAACUGAAGGAUAAGGACCAUUGGGAAGAUAUGCUCUUUCAGACUUUCAGGUACUACUGGAUUUAUUUCACAUUUCUGAAUGGAUUGCAUGAAAGUAAAUUUAAAAAAAAAUAGAAAAAUAUGUGGCACAAAUAAUGGGAUAUUCAGCUGGAUAAAAGCACCGUUGGAUCCCAUGCUACUCUACCAGUGACUUUGAUGGUGAUGUAAUCUCAGAGAAAGCACUGAAUCAUGCUAUCAAUUAACUUGAGUAACAAUGUAUAUACACAGGAAGUUUUGCAUAGCAGACAAAUUUUAGUAUUUUGUGAAAAAAAAAUGGUGAAGUGAUUGGAGGAUAUCUGUUAAUUAGCCAUACAUCUUUUUGAACAUUCACCUAAAGAGAACCAAGAACAGUGUUAGCAACAAUGUGAUACAAAAUAAUUAGCUUGUUUUCAGGGCUUAAAUAGUCAUUACUUUCUUGUGAAGUCCCUAAUUAAGCUAAUCCUAGUUUAUAAUACAUUAGCAACCACUCUUUAUGUGGAAGCUACUUCUUAGAGGAUAAAAAUAACUUCAAAGUUUGAAAUGCUCAAAAACGUAUGCAAAAAUGUAGAGCUCAGGACAGGAGAAAUACAGACGAAGAAAUUCCUGAUUUAUUCCUUGCUGCCCACGUGCUGUUUGUUCACCUGAAGGCUGCAGAUACAACUGCUUAAAGGCUCCAGUGAAACAAUUUCCCCCUUUCUGCUCUGAAAGCCUGUUACCACGGUUUUCUUAGGAGGUCCUGCUAUAACAUUACCCAGUUAUUUCCUAAGAACCGCAAAGGUAUUCUUUCUCACUGACUCACGCUCUAAUAGAUGAAGGACUCAUUUUCAGUUUGCUAUUUGACUUCAGUCAAAGGAAAAGAGCUGAUAAUACGAAGUUAACGUAACACAAAGCACAAACCCUGGGCUGCAGAACACAGUGGGCUCUGACCCUUAUCCACAGAGAAAAAAAACAAAAGUGAAGAGGUAGAAAUAAGCUCUGUUUUGGGACUGGGAGGCCUGCACCUAGCUGCUGCCAUUUGUUCACAGUGGGCAGAAUUAGUGUCUUUCUCCAGCUUUGUGCUUUGCUUGCUAAUUUACCCACGGUCAAGUGGAGGCAAUGUUGAGUUACAAAGCCCCAAAGACAUGCAGGAGUAAGUUCAUUUUAUGCAAGGUGAUGGAAUCAGCUGAUGUGGCAAAACCCAGCGCCAUGUGGCCUCCCAGCUGAAAGGAAUGAUUGAUUGAAAAAACUGCUGAAAACUUGGCCAGUGAAUGCUUCAAAGAGAUCAACAUGAAGCAGGGAAGGCUGGCUCUCCCUGCCCCUCAGAAUUACCACAACAAGGAGCCACGUCUCCCAUUUAAAAACAGAGCGGAACCUCUCACUUAAAUAAUUUGUAGAAGCUUUGCUAUCAGUUUAUGCUCAAACUAAAAACUGGGAAAGAUAACCACAGUGAGCACGAAAACACCUGAGAUCGACUUUAUAUACAGCAAGCUGCAGGAUUUCUACAAAACUAUUUAUCCAAACAUCUCACUGAAACUUGGGGCUGCCUCACCGCGUCAUGUAAUAUUCUGUCUGUUCCCCCUGCACUUACAUUCCUGGUACGGUAUCAAUAUUUCACAAACUCUUCUUACAUGGGCUGUUUAAUAUGUUGUAAGAGGCAAAACAUACAUGGUAUACGUAAGAGAAAGAGAUUUCCGGCCAAAGAUAUUUAACAGACCUAUGCAACCUAGCAAGAGGCAUAAAUCAAAACACAAGGACAUGCAAUACAGUGUGAUAAUGGUGUUCAGCGAUGUGGCUGUGUGUAUAUAUAAUGCUUAUUUCGAAUUGCCCUCUGCUCUAUUAGUCAGUGUUAGAGCUCCUGAGCAGCUGGAACUCGGCUCCUUCAGUCUGCCCAGCUGGAAUUCAAAUAGUCCUUAUUACACAUUAUGUACGUUCUCACUGUCUCAUGCUUUUUUUUUUUAUUUUUAUUUUUUAUUUUUAUUUUAUAUUUGAGCAGAGCACAUUGAAGUUAGAAAAGAUUAAGUGGAAUUAAACAUGGAUGCCAUUUUGCAGAGACAUUCCUCAGAAGACACACUCUUUUUUUUUUUCCCCCUAGAUUCUCCUUUAGCUGUGUUAGAUCUGACUGCAAAUGACAAUCUGUACACAGGAACCAGGCAUUUAUAUCCCUAUCAUCACUUAUUAACUGUUGAUAUUGUUGCUGACAGUGUAGCGAUAAUAAUAGGGGUUCUUUCAACACCUGGCCUCAAGAUGUAGUUUAUGACAUUCAAAAAAUAUCUCAAUGGAGCUGACAGGUGAAGGCAUGUUCAGAGGCAAUUCACAGCAGGAGCAGUAUAUAAGUGCCAUACAAAGCUGACUGUGACCUUGAGAAGUCUUUGCCAGCCCUUAGGAGCUGACUUAGGCAUUCAGAAGCAAAGUCAUUUUCUCUUAAUAAGGUAUCACUGUCUCCAUCUGUAAAUCACUCUACAGCGUCAGCGUGUUGUAGUUCGUGUAGCAAAAUGACUAAUAGGAAAUAAUAGUGUUGCAAUAGAGAGUAUAAGGAGAGCUGUGAUUUGAGUGAAAAACACACUACUGGAAAGCCAGCUGUUCCCACUUCCCUGACUAAUUGAAGGCAUGAAGUGAAUGCACUGAUGUGCUGAUUUCCUCCAACUUGCAUAAGAUGCGAGGUUCUUCGAAGAGGCAGUAGGCUUCUAAAUGGUUUGGGCCUGAAUAAUGGAAAAUACCUUCAGCUUCCAAAAUUAUUGUUUUACAGACAACUGGAUGUGAGCCUUUCAGCGAGUACAUCAUCUGCAGUGCAAAUAAAUGGAUCCUGUCUCCACAUCUGCAUUUACAUGGUGUGCAGCACCUGUAUUCAUACCGUGGUCCACCACAGCCAUCUACAGGUCAAUGCACAGGGAUUCCUCAGCAGACACAGAUAUUUCAAUGGGAGAAGAUUGCUGUGAAGACCUGAAAAUUACUGAUGUAGUCUAAAGCAAGCCUAAUCUCUCCAGUAAAUUCACAUUCAUGGGACUUGAAAAGCAAUGAGUUGGGAGGGACCUUGGCUAGACAAGGGACAUCCAAGAUGUGGCCAAACGAGAAAUGGCAUCAGGAUGGUAUACAACUAUUUCCAUGUCCUGUGUUAAGACUGGAAAAACCAGCAGGUAAGGUACUGAUUCAUGGGCACUGAAUGUCCACCACCAGUAUAAAAUUGGCCCCUUCCGGAUGCCACAAGGGAUGCUCCAACAAGACUCGUGUGCUGCCCUAAGGUCUUGCCAGAUAAACUUUUUCUAAUGCCCAAAGAAAUACAUCUCUACACCUUCUCCAAAAAUAAACUGACAACCCAGAGUGAUAGAAACAAGAUUUCUCAACCAACGUGUUGUUUAAAGUUGAAGGAAGCACGUUUCUGUUGCAGUAGAACAGACUAGACAAAGUCAGAGGAGAUAUUAUUAGCUAGGCACCAUCCCACAGGAUCAGAGAAACGUUACUAUAGGAGAGAACAACGCAUUGCAUCACUGACAGAAGUGAAAUCUCGUCCCUCAGAAGCCAGAAAGUUGUUGCAGUCCUUUCUCAAGCAGCCUUUGCUCCCACUCCUCAUAGUCCUCCUAUGACAGUUCAUUCAACACCCCAGUUCUGACAGUAAAACCACAGGCAAUGGAACCAGCUGGGACUUAUUCUCUUUUUGACCCAACUGCUUUAAGACUAAGUAUUUCUUCCACAGGAUGGAAAAUCUUAGUUUUGGUGAAAUAUAUAAACUGUCAGUUCUGAAACGUGAAUCCUUUGGCCUCUUGAAAAAGACUCUCCAACAAAUAAAAAUAGAUGUUUUUUGACCCUUCUUAAGCAGGCUGUGAUCUUCUUUCAGAGCCUAGUUACUUAAUAGGACAGCUAUCUGAGAUCACACUACUGGGGGGUCUGAAGAAUAUAUUAUCUUGCAGAAUAGACUAUAGCUGGAAUUUCCAUGAAGGAGAAACAGAACACAAAGACUUUUGGAGGAAGAAUUGCAAAUAAUGAGGAAGUACACAGCUGACUUAAAUAAAUACAUGAGCAAAUACAUGUUGAUUGCUACUCCAUGCUGAUAAAUGCAUCCUAUUGAAAACUGGGAGAAGGGAAAAUGUCUGCUAAAUGGUAUAGUGCUGCUGAAUACUAACCAGGAAAGAGAUUUUAACUUUAUUGUUGGGAAAUCCCCAAAGCCUUUGCUGUGCUGCUUCAAUAUGCAGCUGUGGCACACACAGGACAAACAGAAUGCUGUGUAAAAAAAAUAAGCCUCUGGGAAAGGAGCUGGCGAUGCAGACCGACGCAUCACUGAGCCAAUGGUAUUCCUGGAGCAGACAUAUUGCUCUGAUUGGUGUUGCAUCGAUGAUGAAAUUGCUGACUUAAUGAGUUAAAAAAAAAAAUAAGCAAGUAAGAAGUUGCAGAGUUGUUGCUAAUUGUUUGAAAACAAAUCUCAUGCUUUAAAACGUAUUUGGAAAUAUCUAGCAAAACCCUGAAUGAACAGCAAGCAACCACUGAGAUGGUAUUAGGUAAAUGGCAGCCAAGUGAGGAAUAGACACAUUUGAAUCAGAUGAUUAUAUUUUUGGUCAAGGUGAUAAAAUCUGGUGUCACAGUUAAACAGGAGGGUAUCAAGCACUAAUUGCACUUAUUUUAGAGAUGGCUGACAUUCUGAAAAGAUUUCAUAAAUACCCCCACAUGAUCUCAGAUAUUUGGUGAUGGUUUAUGUUACAGUCCCAGCAGUACAUCCGGAUGAAAUAGGCUCUGUCAAUGUUAAUUCAAAUCUUUGAAAAGCUGUUUUUAGCUCUUCAGUCUUCUGCUACGUCUUGGGAGAGGUAAAAAAAGCUCCUCUAAGAGUUCUAUUAUGUGAUAAAGAGCGAGUCACACAAAUCUGCUCCUCAAAGAGGAAAUCCAGCAUUUCAAAAUGUAAUACCACGGGUGAGGAAAUGCUCAGAGUAGACACAACAGCCCUGCUAUUUUCCUGGUAAGCGUUGCAAUAUGGUGGAUGGUUUAAAAGUUUAAGCCAUGUAAGAGUGUCGGCGGUAGGCAUUAGGAGGGACUGAAGAGAAAGACACUGCGUCUGGGGGGAGAUGUAUUGAAAGAAGAAGCUUGAGGCUUGCAGGGCUUGGAAGAUGCUGGUUCACUGCCCUGCUAUGCCAAGCAUUUCCAGAAUGACCUCGGACACCCUCAGCCCUCUGAGCUUCAGCUCUUUACAAAAGCAGCUCCCUACCUCAAAGAUUUGUUAUAAGGCAAAAUACGGUCCAGGCUGUGAAGCAUCUCCAGUAUGGCCAAGUUUUACAAAUACCUGUGAUCUGUUGAGAUUUGGUUUUGGUCUACAUGCCACAAAUUCCCAAGUACAUAAUAAAGUCAUUUUAACAACAUGGUUAUACCAUUUUUUUGUAUGAAGACGAGGAAAUAAAACCUGAAGGGCAAUCCAAACUAAGCGAGAAUGUGUUCCUUUAGUGAAAAACAGACUCACACUCUUCAAGCAUUCUGAGCUGCUGGAUCCCAAUAUGAGAGAAAUACCUACAAAUGUGCUGAAAAUAAGGGAGCAGCAGCGUGGAAAUUAUAAUUUUCCCAUUAGAAUUUGCUAAGAAAUGCAGCUGUGCUUGCUUUCCCUACUGAUCCCCAGCCUUCAAAUUCCUCUAAAUUAAAUUGUAAAAUAAUGAUCUCCUUUUCUGUUUUCUGCUAAGCUACAUAGUUAAUCCCUGAUACAGAAAUAUAUAAAGAACACAUAAUUUUAGGAAAACCAUUAUUACUAAAAUACAGAAGGCCUCAGACCAAAGGGUUCCCACAAUUUCCAAUGCACAUUUUGAACCCAGAUCCUUUAGAUUUGCCUCGGCCUAAUCCUUUUGUUUGUAACCUGAUUUUAGGAAGAAAAAAAAUCAGACUAUGAUUUUAACGGGAACAUUCGGUUGUGAUAGCAAACACGCAUCCUGAAAUAAUCUGAAACAGCCUGUCUGCUUUAGCUUUUUUAAGCUUAUGAUUACUUUUUCCUGGUGAUUUCAAAUGACUGCAUGGUAAGAGCAGCAGACAGGCCUGGAAGAGGAGCAUCUCUGUUAUCAACAGCCACCCAUGCCAGCAUGUUGAACGUAACAGAGCUUCUGAGCUUGUAAGGACUAACACGUGGAAGAAAUAUUAAUAACUUUAAUUAAAGUUAUUCAGUUAUCUGGGAUUUCUGUGAGUUUAAUAAGGUCAUUGAUGUCAGAGGAAUGCAGGUAUCUUAAAUUUCUCACUUUCUCUACCAAAGCGAACAUGGCAUUUAAGUACGUUGUCAGCCUAUAUGGCAUUGUAAUUCUUUUAAAGUAGGAGGUGUUUAAGAAGCAGCACUUGCAGCUACAGGCAAGCCUCAUGUGGGGGGGGAGGUGGGGGAGAGCACUUGAAUGGUAGCGUUGUUGGUUUUGUUUACCAGGGACCAGCUCUGUCCCAUAUUGCCAUUAAGUGGCUCCAUCCUCCAGUACCCUCAAGGCACAGAAAUGGUGAGAAGCAGACAAGGGACAUCUCCUUUUGUAAGAGGCGUUAUAUACGAUACAUAACUACAUUUUCAAACUGCUUUUAUUAUUAUUACUCUUUUUAACAUGCUCUCUUUCUCUCCAGCAUCUCCUUCUACCAGGUCAAAACAAAAGUUGAGGGGAACAAAAAGACUGACAACAAAGAAUUAUUCUGGGACUUCUGAGAGAAGCUAGGAUAUUUAUGGAUUUAUUAUAUUCCCUGGGAUAACAAGUUUCUGAGAUAUUAAUCCGUUUCCCCGUAAUUAAAUAAACAACACUCUCUACGUGGCUAUAUAGAAUAAACUAAAAUGAAGAAAGAACAUGUUGUGGAAAAUAUGGAGAAGUACAACUAGAGAAGUGCAACGUACUUCAGCAGAAUCCAGGCAUUAGCAUCUCCAAGGAGUCUUCUGGGCAGUGACAAUAGUGGGAUGCAGACCCAAGCUGGCCUGGAUUUACACCCUUGGUCCCCUGGAGAAAUCAUUGGGUGGUUGUUUAAAGCUGGUACAGCAUUGAAUACAGCAGAGGAGCCUUGACCUUUAUUUGUAAGCAUGGAAAUAAGGUAAGGAUGAAAGAUUGCUUUUCCUCCAGCUCAUAGGCAGGGAUCAGGAGGCCCUCCAGAGAAGCAGGGAGGUGGAAAGUCCCCAUUCAAUUUCUCUCCUCGCCUCCUUUCCCGUGCUGGCAGCAGAGGCCAGUAGUGCUAUGCAGAAGCCGUGCUCUACGGCAGCGAGAGGUGAAGGGAAGAAUCGCACAUGUUGCAGCUCCCUCGGGCUGCUGGAAGUAUAAGCAGUGAAUCAGCAGGGCUGAGGACCUGGCUGUUUUGACCCCAGCCCAGCUCUUUUUAGUCAAUUAGUUUAAGGCAAAUCCUUCCCUGGGGCUGGACACAGACACAAGCUCACCUGGUGCUUCAUGCUGUGCUGAUGCAACGAUGUAAGGUAUCGAUGCUCAUGGGCUACCUGAGGGCAAGAGUUGUGAGUGGUGCUGCAAUCUCUGCUGCUCGCAUUAUGGCUCAGUGGUACCAAUAGGAUCUGUGUAGUGCAUCAGGGGAGGAAAGAGGACCCCUAACCCGAGGAAAUACAGGUAAUCUUAGAAUAGUCUUAUUUCCAUUAAAGGUGAUUUCAUCUAGAGUGUGCUGAGUGGCAAAUUUACCCAGGAGGUUUAACUUGCUUCUCUGUCUUCACAUUUUCAGAAGUUUAAUUUUAGUAAAUUUGUACCGUGCUCAAAAUAAACCAAGAGGUAGUUCCACAAACGGGUUCAAAUGCAGGAACUGCUGUUGUGAUGGAGCUCUGGAUGUCCCUUUCAGUACCAUCACCUGGCAUUUGAAAGCUUGUCAUGGUGCGUAUCAACCCUCAGGAGAUCUUCUGAUCUCCCCACGUUAUCACAGCUUCACACUGAAGUGGGUUCAUUGGAGAUACAGCACUGAAUGCAUUCUGCAUGCCAGACCCACAAAAUGUAGGCAGCGAUUGUACUGCUUCUUGUAUGUGGUGCUGCAUUCACCCUACACAGUCAUUCCAUUCGCCAGCCCCCCUUUUCUGGCAGAAGUCAUUGCUGGAUCCCUGAAGUCCAGUGAAUUUGAAGAUCCACCAGGUCAUUAUCAUCUGUGGGCUGGAAAAGCUCCUUUUGGGAUAUUAAACAAUUAAAAGAGGGAAACCCUCCCCACACAAACCCAUCCCACAGCUCCCAACCUCCAUAGGCACAGUGCUGGCCUACCCAGCUGGCAGAGGGCCACGCUGUGUUGAGGGCGCAAACUUGGGUGAGGAUGCUGAGGAUCUGGUUGCCACUUCAGCCAAGAAAUGAAGAAGGAUUCACAGCACUUCUGUGGUGCAUUCUGGGUCUGUCUGCAUUUUCCAAGCAAAAAUUUAAUCACGCAAAUAUUUACAGAAAUUUGAGAAAAAAAUAAAGACCAGUGAAAGCCGCCGCAGUGAACUUCUAAUUACAAAUCCACCAAGUGUUUAUGAAUAAAUUUAUCUAUUAUUUGUCUUGCUCUAGCACUGCGCAUACUUUGCCUUGUACCAUUACAGUCUGAAGGAAACAAUAUGCGGCAUGAAAAUGAAAACAAUUUGACUUAAUUAUUUAUACUAUUACCACCCUUUUGAAUUAAGCCCUCUAUUUCUUUGGUAUUUUGUAAAAUUUAACUGGUAAUUAUGCUUGUUUAAUUCAUUUAUUUCUCUAUUAAAAAAAAAAAAAGAAAAGAAAAAACCCUACCAGAAUGCAAAGUGCCACUGUGUUCUCAAAUUAUAAAUGAUUCUUUUAAGCUUUUAUGACAAAAAAAAAAUGUAGUAUUUUCUAUCACUUUGUUUAAAGCGUGUCUGGCUACGCUCCAACACUAUUUAAGUAUAAACAGGAAAAGCCUUGGAGGACAAGUAAUCAUACUUAAAUGACACAAAGAUCAUUAAAAUAAUGCUCAAAAACCACGGCAAAAUGAGACAUUGCAAGGCUGUUUUCUUCCUUGGAGUGUUUCACCAGAUGGUGAAGAGUGCUGAAAUAGAUUCGAGAGAGAAGCAAAGAGCAUUUCAUCAGCUGUCUCACACCAGUGCCGUGCAGCGCACACAGCCCUCAUCUGAGCUGGUGUGAAGUGGCAUCAUCUCCUACCUCAGGCUCACCCAGCACUGAGAUAGGGAGAACACCGAGGUGCUGGAAUGAAGCUGUGCUGAAUCAUGGCCUGGGAAAUCCCUGCUUUGUCCUAUGGAAGUCACCGAGCAGAUUUAUUUGGAGAUGAGAACAAAUGAGCACGUCAGCAGAAGUUAUUGUGGCAAUUUGUGAAAGCCUUAAUGGAAUGUUUUCUGAGCUCACAGAGGAGAGCUGUGCCAUUAAAUUGCUGCACAAUAAUUUUACUUUGAUACUGGAAAGGCAUUUUGUUUUUUUUUUAAUCAGAAAUGACAGCCUAUAUCAGUGGUGACGCGUCAGCUACUGGUGUUUAAAUACAAGGGUCUCAGAAGUCAAUCUUCACUCACAUAAAGGAAAAAAAAUCAUGUUUCUAUACAUAUAGUUGCUGUAUGAAAUAUCUAAAAGUGAGAUACCUUUGCACUUUUAUCAGUGUCUCCAUUCUUGGCUGAAGAACUUUACAAAGACCUGUGGGAUUUGUAUUUCUUCCAAUGACAUUACCUUUUUGCAAACUUUGUCAGAAAUAUCAACAUAAUUUCUAAUUAUUAAUAAUAAUAAUAAAACUCUCUUAAAUUUUGUAGCUUAAAUAUAUACUGGAAAUCCUUUCCUCUUGGCUAGAGGCUUCUACUUUUAGGAACGUUGGUGAUAAAAAUGAGUGCUAUUCAUCCAUCUGCGUUCUCCUGAACGUUUAAUCUCUGCAUUACAUGUAUUUUGUGGAAUCCUUAAAUGUACAAGACAAAGUAUUUGGAGGUCCUGAAAUCUUCACUGGGUUCUGCUAGCCUGUUACCAACCUGGCUCUUCCUAGAUCCCAAUGGAAAGGCCUGCUGUGCUCUAGGAGGUAGCCUUAACUGUACCAGAGCUGCAAAACCACAAUAGGCAGAAGAGGUGCCCUCUGAAAGAGAGGAUUUCAUAUCAGCUGAGUACAAGUGGCUGAGCCAAGCAGUUGGCAGAAGGAUGUCAGUGUAUUUCCAAGCUCCCUACCUUCCAGAAAGGUUGGGUUUCUCAACUGCUUCCUAACCAACAUGCCUGGCAAAUCCAGAUCCACAGGAAAACUCAUCUUUUGUAGAUAAAUCAGCCUGAAAUGGAAGGUGACUUCAUUUCCAAUUGGCAGGCAUUCUGGUUCCAUGCUGUGCAAGGAAACAGCCUCUCUAUAUUACAAGUGUCUUUGCAAUGAGUAAUCCUAAUGUCCUAAUAACAUCUUAUGCACAGCUCUUGAUAUACUUCCAUUAUAUAGAUCUAGCAACAAAAAAUGAAAUAAAAUCCCCCAACACUAUCAAUAUCUCCACACUCAACAGGUGCUCAGAAGAGGACCUUGCAAACUGGAAAGGAUGAAUUUAAUUUUUGCAGUUCUUUUGCAAAGACCAGUUUGCAUCCAGCUUAUGCACUUAAGUAAAAAAGCCUGUGUGUGGAGAGUUCUCACCAGUCUGUGUUAAAUGAGUUGCUGAUUUUAGCCCCCUUCCUUGAAGACAACUGACCAUUAGAUACACGGAUACUGUAGGUGACAUUAACCCUGCCAUCAUCCUCAGGCAGUGGCACUGGGUCAGGAUGCAGAGUGUCCCAAAAUCUUACAAAUGGACUGUACCUCCAAAUGGCUGUGAUUGAUCCUCAAUGUUAUUUCCAAGCCAAAUAAUCUGGGAAAUCUGGGUGUUGGGAGCAAUUUGUGCCUCAGUUUCUCAUCUGUAAAACAGCAAUACAAGGACAUUUAGAAAACUUAUUUUUUUGCCCUAAAAUGGAUUCUUUUAUUUCUAGAAGGGUCCUUGGAGGAAUAUCAGGUCUUUCUGAUAGUUAUUUUCCAAAGAAAACCUAGCAGGAGCUGAUAGUUUCUGUCUUCAGCCAGGAAGCGGCUUUCUUCCUUGGUUUUAACUUAGUUAAGCCACCUGAACAGUGGCACGGAGGCCUCAAUGAGGAUCCUUGCUUUAUACUCAGAGAAGUCUCUGCGUUUGCACUGACUGCCAGAAGCUGCAGAUCUAGGGACUACAGCACCAAUGAGGAGUUCUUCAAACUUGGCAAGAGUCCCAUUGUACAUUUAUUUUAUACUCUACCUAAAUUCCAGGCAAAAUACCAUUUCUUGUACUUAAAUACUAAUGGUUUUGAGAGACGAUAAAAGCUUGAAUCAUACAGCAGGCAUAUCGAAUUCAAAUCUUUGAACAUGUUAUGCUGCUGAGAGCUCUGUCCCCAGUAGCCGGCAGAGGUUGCUCUGAUGUUAAUGAUUAAUCAGGGAACUUAUUUUCAGUAAUAAAGCACAAAUAUUUAAAUGAUUAAAUGACCUACGAGCCAGCAUUAUGAGGAAUGUGUUACACGUGAGCAGCCUGCAAAGCAGCACUUCCCAGCUCAUGGACAACACACUGCCCGCUGAGCAAUGCCAGCACCUCUCUUGGCCACUACUGCUUCUCAGGAGGUGGUGGAAACUGGGAUUCCUCCUUGAGUAUAUAAACUGUGUCACGCCAGCCUUUAAAAAUCAGGUUGCUUUUUUUUUUUUUUUUUUUCUCCAGUGAGGAGUCCUGUUGAUUUUAAUUGGAUACUUGAGUUAAAAUAAGAGAUACAGCUUCUUUGCAUUUAUUUACUGAGUCUUUUUUUUUUUUCACUUUUCCAGCUAUUAAUUUCCUUAAAUGUAAAGUGACAUCUUUAAAAUGAAAAUGGCUUAUUGCUUGCCAGGAGCAAAGCCUGCCUAAUUUAAGAAAUUCAGAAUUAAAGCUUUUGAAGCAUAUCAGGGAGUGUUUAUACAACAAUUAUUGCAAACAUCAGCCCUGCUCAUUGCAGCCUCUUCAGGCCACCACCAAUGCCUCUAACUUCAUUGCCAACCUUCCCCACCCCAAGAUGUUUCAUCAGUUGCAUAAAAUCAGGUCAUUCUAUGAUUUUAUCCUUCUUAUCACCCCCCAAGCACUCAAACCCAAACCCAACCAACCAAUUGUUUAAAAUUAAGUAGUAGACUCAUUAUUAAUAACUGAUAGCAGAUGAAGGAGUGCAGUGACCUCUCCAACAGAGCAUUUAAAUCUUUGCACUACACGCUCUGCUUGUGCUAGGCUGGUUUCACAAACAACAGCUGUGUAGUUCGUUAGCAUAUGAAUCCCCCUGAGGUAAUUUGGAGGAGGCAAAUGUGCUAAACUAAACACCUCAUUAAAGCAGCACUUUAAAAAACAAAACAACAACAACAAAAAAAAUUCCACCCAAGCCCCAAACUAAUUUCGUGUUCCACUUUUGCUUGUGGAGGUGCUUGGUGGUGAAUAUUCUGUUGUAUGGAAUUCAUUCAUCUAGGUUGCUGGAAAUAGGGGGUUUUUAAAUCACUAAUACGGGCUUUUCUCAGCUAAGAUGCACUUGAGACUAAAGUGUCUUUGAAGAGUGUUCUGUCACAAAGAAGCAAUUAACUGAGGACAAUAAUGUUUUCUUUUUCUCCCAGUCACUAAGCUGAACUCAUGGGCCCCAGGAUUGUACUCAAAUAGCAGGACCUGUUUCUGCUGGGGCUGAAGAGUGAGUGGAUGAGGCCAAAGGCUCUUGGUGGUCCCCAAGAGCAUAUCUGCAGAGGGUUUUGGAUGGGGCCAAGAAGAAGUGCUCACAAGUGUCCCCAGGACCACUGCAUCCCCCAGGAGAAUCUUGCAGAUAUUUUCAGGAAAUUCCUUUAUAACAAAUACGGCUACCAGAGGAACUGGUUGCAAGUCCAGGCAAUGAUGUAGGACAUUCAUGAUGGUACUAGCGUUGCUCUUCCUUCCACUUCAGUCCUAUUUUGGCACCACAAACAACUUUUUAUCCUACUUCAUCUCUACUAAUUUAUUAAAUCCUGAGUGAGACUGCAAGUCCAUUAAAAUAUUUAAAUGCUGUUUCACAUUUUGAUAAUGAUUUAAGAAACAAAUAAUGGGGAACUUUUUGUUCUUAGAAUCUUAUGGAACAACAGCACUUAUUCUACCAGAAAAUGACAUUUUAAAUCUGAAUGGAUAACCCUUGCCCAGUGAGGUUGUGCGUGCCCCCGCCCUGGAAGCAUUCAAGCCAGGUUGGAUGGGAUUUUGAGUAACCUGGUGUAGAGGGAGGUGUCCCUGCUAUAAGAGGGGGGUUGGAACUAGAUGAUCUUAAAGGCCCCUUCCAACCCAAACUAUUCUAUGAAGUUAAAACAUUAGACCUGCUGGAUUGUGUGGUUUCAUCCAAAAAGCUCAUCUUACUGUUUCAUCCCAAUCUAUUUCAUUUUUCACAUGUCAGAUAAGACGUUAAGAAGCUAGAAGUGGUAGUUUAGAACUACCAUAACAAUGAUUUAACAUGGAUAAAUGCAACAUAAACUGUACAACGUCGUCAUGUAUGUAUACUCCAUAGUUUCUAUCUUCUCUUUUAAAUGUUUUGAUCCUGAAACAAAAGUAGGGAAUCUGAGUUUUGGGAGGAGUAAAAAGUAUCCCUGACCUACAAUCUUAUUUUCAAAGCAUGACUUGGUAACCUCUUGGAAUUUCCUCAAGGUUUUGUAAAUAUUCUGCUGAGUUCUUUCAAGGUGUUAAUGUCAUCCAAAAACCAGAAAGUACUAUUUAUUCUCCACAGGACUCAAUCCAUUCUUCUUCGAAAUCCUGCAGGUAACCAGCUCCCCCCUAGGGUAAUCUCUCAUACUUCAGUAGGCACGUAAGUAUGUGUUAAUUUAGUCAGAAUUAGUGUUUCUUCUCCUUUCCUUCUCCCCUUCCCUUUUCACUUUUCCUGCUCUCUUUCCUUUUUUUCCUCCCCUUCCUUUUCCCUUUCCUUUCCUUAAAUUUUUUUGCUAUGUUGCUGCCAGGCUUUGGACAAGUGAAGCCUGAAAAAAUCUAUUCCCUCUCCCAGUUUUGUAGGUAAACCCAUGGCUUGGGGAUUUUUAUAGGCACACCGAAUACAGAACUUCUACAUGUAAAAUUAUAUCCACAUUUUCAUCCCCUGUCCAUGUUUUCCUUGCAUGUUUUCAGUGCAAUUAUAUCUUUAAUAAUGGUGUAAUUGCAGAAAUCUUGCAGAAAAUACAAGACUUUAAGCAUUGCAACUGCAAUGUAGAUUUUUAUACUACAGAUUUAUUGGUGAAUAUUUUCUGUUGCAUUUGCAUAAAUACUAUUCCAGAAUAACAAGGUUUCAAAAUAUUUCUCUGUUUCAUUUAACUGGAAGGUCUGUGAUAUAGAGUUAUUUCAGAGAAUCAUAGGAUGUCUUGGGUUGGAAGGGACCCCAAGGAUCAUCAAGCUCCAACCACCCUGCCGCAGGCAGGGCUGCUAACCUCCAUAUCUAAUACUAGACCAGGCUGCCCAGGGCCCCAUCCAACCUGGCCUUGCACACCUCCAGGGAUUUCAUCUAAGAAUGCUUGUUUUUUAUUAUAUCUCUCUUUCAUUAUUACUUUUUUUUUUUUUAUGAAUAUAGUCCCCAGAAAACAGAUACAGACGACAAUAGUGAUCUUUGUGAAGAAGCAGCUUUGAAGCCCCCUUUAUUUACCAGAAAACUAUCAUUCCAGAUCCUAAUAAAGCUCAGAGAUUCAGCUGAGCUCGCUGUACUGCAGCAAGCUUAAAUCACAGCUGAAGUGAAAAGAGAGAUUCAGAUUAUGUACUUCCAGAGAAGUGCCCAAGCUCACAGCAGUAAAUAAACACACCUACGAGAGAGAACGGUUUUUCUCCACUCAGCGUAUCCCCAGAUUUCCUUCUUCAUUGCUACAUUACCCACGUGGAAGAUCAGGGCAGAAUCACAAAAAAUUCCUACAUUUUUCUUGUGCCAUAAUAUCACCUCCACUUAUUCCUGUACCUGAUCACUUGUGAUUAAGGCCGAUGAGGAAGACUAGUUUCAAGGGAUGCAGAAAGUUUAGUCGUCCACACAAAACCAUAACGACUCUUCAUUUGUUUUAUACCCCAAGGACAGAUUUCUGCCUGUAGCCAGCAGCACUGAAGCACAUCUUACUCUCAACUGAUGGACUAAUCUGACUCUCUGAGCUACCUUGCCUUGCUCUGAAAACUGAGAUUGCAUGGGAAGAGUUUCUACCAUCUCCUGUACUUAACCAUGAUUCUCCCAACUCAUGUCACACCAAAUUUAACCGUCAACUCUAAGUAAAAUGGAUUAAAAGUCUCCGGAGAGUGAUGAUCUUCUAGAGGGAGAGGCUCCAGUGACUUUUGGAUUGCCAAAAAGAUGAAGACUUUUUUUGCCUCUUAUGAAAUUUGAAAAGAUCACCACUUUAUCUUAGGGCCAGGUCGUUUAAUUGCAACAAUUUACCACUGAUAUUAAAACCAAACGUGAUAAUUAUUAAGAAAUAACUAGCAAUUAAUAAAUGUAUUUUUAAAAUAACUAUGACCUUUCACCUUACAGAUCCAGAUUUAAUUAUUGGAAUACUUCCAUCUUUAGAAGAUUAAAAAUAUCAUUUUUCUGGUAGUCAGUAAGAUCCACUGUAUUGCCCAUAAAGAGCCAUGUCUCUGUUACUCAUUAAAUAGAAGUUUUAAAGAGUUUUUAAUUAAGGGAUGAACAAGUAAAUUCAGCCCAUAAGACAAGCAGGACAUGUAUAUGUGGAAUAAAACAAUAAAUAAAGAGAGGAUUAAAUACUUCCAAGUUGUUCAAUGAUGAAUUAAACAAAAGUCCAAAUACAAGAUUUCCUCACCCUUCCUGUUCAAGAUUUAUACCACUAAUCAGCCAAGUUUCAAAUCCUUAAUACAGUAAAGCAUUUGCCUUUAAGGCAGCAGCAAUUCAAGAUUGCUAGCAAAAUGAAUGUAUUUCCAUUAGGCAAAAUAAUUAGGUCAUAUAUUCUAACAGUAUCUUUGGACUUAAAUCUCUUUGGUGAAGGGAACUGUCAAUCACCUACAAUUCGAUCAACAAUCUUGGUCAGAAACCACCCCAUAUGUGGAAAGAAAAUUACAAGUGACUUUUCUGUCCCUUGCAUUUAUUCAAGGUCAUUCAUAAAAAAUAACAGUGAAAUGACAGGUUACAUUUUGUCCUACAAAUCUGGUGCUUUUUGAGGAAUAUAUUUGAAUACUACUUUAUGUUUAUUAAAGCCAGUAUGAGUACCUAUGCAAAUUAAAACUCUUCAAAUCUCCACAUCAGAAUGAAGUCAUGCAUUUUAGUACAACUUUUCAGGGUGUUGCAGGUUUGUAACUGUGAGCACAGUAAAUCUUUACAGUCCAUGAUUACUUGGUUGUUGACUUUGAAGUCCUCAGUGCACAAGAGAUAUGCUUACAGAACAAACACUGAGCAUUUCUGCUUGGGCAUGCUUCAGAAUCCUUCCCUAGACAGAAGCUUAGCAGAAAGGGAGGGGAUCCAUUUAUUGCCUGGCUGGUGGGAUGGGGCAUUUGAAAAGACAAGGUGUGCCUAAUUGAACAGAAAUUUGCAAUUACUUAGAAUAAAACCCCACCUCAUGCAACUAGGCACUUUAAAAUGUAUAGCUGUUAAUAUGCUUCUGCACAUCUCACUUGGAGAGUGAGCCUCAAUCCUUUAGACACUUGAGCUCAUUUUGCCACAUUUAUAAACCAUGUCAGAGGGUUGUAGCUAAUUAGGGCCUGGCCUUGCAUCUCAUCAGAGGAUAUCACCUGCCGGUGACCCCCAAGCACCACUCUGAGCACCAGUGGUGUUGGGGUGAGAUCUGAAUGGCACACAUGAGAAGGGAAGUAUGAGGGAGGGCUGAGAAAACAUGCAGAACCACUGACUUCUGUACAGGCCUCUGUGCACAGAGUGGCCAAUUAGCUAAUCACUAUUUUGCCUUCCUAUCAGAGCGGUAAAUGGAGUCACUGCAGAAUUGUUGGUGACUAAGCCAAUGAGCACAGCUGAGCCACUGACGGACACUGAACUCUCAAAUAUCAGGGUCAUAAAACAAGGUUUUACCUUGGCUGUUGCGGUUGUAAAGCGCUGUUUGAAGAUGGCAAAUCCCCCUCUUGUUGCUGUCACAGUUCUGUUCUUCCGAUCUUCAAAUUGCAGCCUGCACAUCGCCCUCCUGUGCAAGUCCAUAGGUCAUGACCCACGGCUCCUUCUGCAGUCCCACUGCUAUAGCUGCAUCAAGUAGGAAUACCAUAGGAGAUUAAUAUAACCAUAAUCACAGCUGUAAUUGGCCAUACAGGCUUGGUUAAAGCUAAUAACAGUGUGCCUACCUCUGGUGAAAUCACAUCUUCAUUUUCCUGCAGAGGCACACUUGGACAUAUUCGUACAACGAAGUCCUGGGGUGUGGGCUGCUUUGCAACAUAGAGCUGUGCUAGGUGGAAUGAUCAGUGAGCAAAAAAGAAUGCAUAAGGAAAAUCCAUCAUGUGCUCUAUCAAGUUAUCAGGAGAUUUGUGCAGAAAAGCAAACCCGUGAUGUGGCCUCCCCAUCUAGCUCUGGACUAUUUACCCUGCUGAUGAGAAAAGGCUAUUAAAUACAGAGCCUGAUAUUCCGUUACUAAUAGGGAUCCCACUUAUCUAAUUGAAAGGAAAUUGUGGAAAAGCACCACUAGAGGUCACUCAAAAUUAAUUGUUACCCAAUUAGCACAAUUUGACCCUAAAGUUCAAGACGCUCUACAGCUUUCUUGUUUAAAGUACUAUCAAUUUUGACUCUUGACUGUGAGAAAACUCAGAACAGUUGGAGACAGAAAAUGUUUUAUCAGUUCUCCCCUCAUUCAAAGGUUCCUAAAUUAGCUUUGCCUUUCUCUCUGCCAGCAGCAAAUCAUUUCUUUCUCAGCAAUGAGCUUACAGAUGCUGGCAGUGAUGGACCUCUAGAAGCAUUGUUUUUAGAGGAAUUCAGACCUAGCUGUGUUAUCUCAAGCACCUGGUCACCCAUUUUGAAAAUUAGACCAAAAUGAAUUGUACAAGUGAGGGAAUAUAUAGGAAAAAAAAAAAAAAAAAAAAAACAACCAAAAAAACAACAAAAACCUUUCCAGGAUAAAAGCCUUUUCUUUUUUUUUUUUUCUUUUUUUUUUUUUUCUUUUUUUUUUUUUAGAUAUACAUAUAUAUAGAAAAUUAUAACCACUGUUGCAUGGAAGUAUGAGUACAUGUUUUUAUAACAACUGCUUGACUAAGUAAAAGAGGUUAAAAGCAAAGUUAAAGUUUGAUUAAUGGGUAUGUGUUGAAAUAUCUCUGCGUGUAUUUAAUUAAAAGCAGAUGUUCUAUUUGCAGGGCUUUUGCCAUAAUCUGUGGUAAUGAUGAUAGCAAUUUAUUUGCCAAACCCAACAGGAAAAGCAAUAUCUAAUUAGUGUGCUCUAUAAGAUUAAGCCUACUAACCACUGGUGCACAUGCAUACAUCUCCUGAUGUUAUCAGGAGAUUGAGUCCUCCCAGUGCUCAGUAUGUAAUUCAUGGUCCUACAUAGACCAGAGUGAGGAAACAUUCCCUUCCAGUGCAGCUUGGUGUGGGAAAACUCAUGGGCAGCCACACUUCCAUGAAUGAUGCUCUAUCAGUGCUCUUAUUUCCUUCCUCAUUUCAGGUUACUGAUGAUCCUCUUAUUCUCCCCACCCCUCACUUUCAGCUUAAUGGAUAAAGGGGAGGAUUAGCUACUCAGCUUAUCAAUAUGUAUGAACAUGACAAUAGGAAAGAUUGUGGUAGUUUCUUGAAAUAUCCUUUAAUAACCUCACAAGGCCAGCCAAGGAAGGAUGCAUGGCAUCAGUGCAGCUGCAGAAAAAAACGCUAAAGCAUCAUAACAUGGGCAAGUAAUUUAUGAGGCUCUAGUCUCCUAAUUGUUUCAUCAAGGUGAUAAAUAAAUAAAUAGAUCAUCAGCAUCUGAAGAGCUGUAUGGCUUCCUUCUCUGCUUUCUAGAGAGAUUAAUCUUGCAGAGGUAGAAAGACAGUUUGCCACAAAAUCAUACUCAUAGGCUCAACAAAUGGAAUUUGGAUGUAAUUAUCAUUUUUUAAAAUGGUGAGCCACCAUCUACUUUUCUGCACAGCAAGACAGUGAAGUCAAGGAAAAUUACUCUGCAUUUAUUCUCUCCCUUAAAAUCUGUAGCAACUGAAUAAUAAGAGCUACUGCUUCAAGGUGUUCAAAUAUCCCAGGCUUCCCUCAUCUGCACAUACUGCUUCUGUGCUGGUGGCAGUGAAAGUCUUGCAACAUUCAGUCACACCUGCCUAUUCAUCAGGACAAAUUUCACUGUUUGGUGGCUACAUUACUCCCUCUCCCGCAGUACUUAGCUGGGCUUGGACUACGCAGUUAGUCCUCACCACAAAGAUUCAAGAUACUCAUGUGUUCUUGUUAUAAAAGGGGAUGGAUACAGAGAAAUAAGGGCUGUUUUACAGAAAUCCUAACUAAAACCCAACAUUAUCAGAGCUUUCCCUUCAGAAAACCUCUGCCGUUGGAACUCUUCCUCUAAAAUGAGUAAAAGUGCCAUUGAAUAUAGUCACUUACUCUUGAACGUGCACAGAAAACAUUACUGAGUGCUUCUCAUGCAACAAAGCAUACAUUUUGAAAAUCACAGAAAAAUAAGACAGCGAGCAGCUGAAGCUGUAAGGCUGAGGCAGAGAAAUGGAGGGAAAGAAAACACACUGAAGAAGAGACAGAGUUACUACAGAAGGCCAACAGCUAAAGAUUCUUACUAGAAAAAAUGAAAAUCAGGUGGGCUCAGGUAGAGAGCCCUUUCCUUUCAUUUGCAAGGAAAAUCACAGCUUUUGAUAUGCAAAGAAUUAUAGAAUUUGAUAAGACUUGAAGGUGAGCUACCUAGAGCCAACAGUUGCCCAGCUGGUUUGCCACAGGGCAAUUUUUGCUAAUUACAUAUCUCUCAUUCCCUGAUCAGUCCAUUCUUCCACCCAUUAUUGCCCUAGCAGCUACUGUGGGAUAUUCUCAGAUAGAACAAAUAAUUUCCUAUUUUGGUCAAAAACAAAGGUUAUUCAGCAAUAGAGGAAAGCAAGGUUUCUACCCAGCUGCCACAACGCAUUUCCAAGAGCUUGUCUUCCCCCCAAAAACCCACCUUUUACUCUGCAUGCCUCACCAUCCAAAAGCUGAUCUCCAGGUUAUGUCAUCUAAUACAUAGCAGCCACAGUUUUCCUCUCAAUCCCCUGUAUAAACUUAACCCAAUAAUUAGAAAGUAGGGGGAAAAAAAUGUCAAAUUUUCUUUUCUUGCUGAAAAAACACAUGCACGGAUGCUUCUUUCACCAAAUAUUUACACUGAGCCUUCAAUGACACCAUUCCUUUUAUCAAACUCUAAUUUUAAAAGCAUUCAGCACAGAGGAGUAAAUGUAGGUUUUCUACAUGGGGUUAAAAUCUUCAUAGGGGUUUAAAACCACUGCCUACACAGUGGGCUUUAGGUGCUCUGAUUUUUGCAAUAGUGCUCAAGCAUUGCUUCAAAAUGACUACUGAAAGCUGGGGGAAAUCAAAUAAUUCUGAUGUAUUAGCUGAAUUAUAAAGCAGUAACAGAGGGCACUGUAAUUGAAUGUAUGGAGAUGAUGAACAUUUGAACUCACACAGCAUAAGUCUUUUAUUUUAAAAUAAUCCAUAAACUGCUUUAGCAAUUCUCUAAAAGCAUAUAAAGAUACAGACAAUUCAUUUAAAAUGGCACUUUCAAUACAGUCUAAAAUCACAGAUUUUGAAAUGAUAAAAAAAUAUAUAUGUGUGAUACUAAAAAUAUUCAGUGCUUCUGAAUUAAAGCAUUUUUUCACUGGCUCUGCUAUAGUGAUUUCUGUUGCUUAUAUCUUGAUUUUCCUUGGGAAAUUGCAGCCAGAACUACUCUGAGCUCAUAGUUCUGGUCUAUUCAUAGAAUCAUAAAAUGGGUUGGGUUGGAAGGGACCUCAAGGAUCACCAAGCUCCAACCCCCCUGGCAGCAGGCAGGGCCUCCAACCUCCUCGUUUAAUACUAGACCAGGCUACCCAGGGCCCCAUCCAACCUGGCCUAAACCUAUUCCCAGUGAAGAGGUUCAAAUAUGCGAAGGAAUCCUGUCUUUUAAAGAAUUGUUUUUGAUAGAAGGCUCUUAAAUGAACCAAUUAUCAGAGUGUAUUUCCUAUCUAAGCUGAAAUGCAAGAAGGCCCAGCUAGAAGUAACACAGAUGUAGGAAAUCACUGUUGCAAAACUCAAUAUAAAAAUUCAAAACCUUAAGAAAAUUGGAGGAUUUGGCCAAAUCUCUUGAGUAGCAUGUUGGACCAGCUCAGCCUUACCCUUGGUACUCCUAAGCUCCAAGUGUGUGCCUGAGUGGCCCGAUCAGGAUUCCCUG